ACACUGAUCCAGUCGAUUUGACCCGCAUCUGACCUGUGACGUAACAUCAUGUGAAUUCCACUCAUUCAUUAGUAGGCUAGCAUUGCGACCAGCAUGUAAUGAUUCUUCGGAAAAUAGCUCAUUCUUAUCGGACGUUAGUUUGGACAUUUCGGACUUGUCGCAUUUGCCUAUUUAUUCUAAUGCUACCUCGACUGGUGAGGAAGGAGAAAAUCCGUCAGCUUGAACCAUAGUACACCGACGAGGAUCCGGCGAGCCAAAUGUGCUGCUUGCGAUGCGGAUCCAGACUUGACUUUCUUGGAGUCUGGCGAUGGUUGUGAAGCUACCACCCCAGCACCACCAUUGUGAUCUAUGCAGGCGCAGAAGUGGUUUGUGCAGCUGCUGGUGGCGCCCUCAUCACACUGGACACGCUGGAGAAGAACGCCCUGAUGGUGGAUACCAUCAGAACAUGUGAGUCAUAUAAUCAUGUUUACAUGUAGUAACAUAUUUCCUGUGCUGCACUGUGAUGUAACCAAUUCAAUUUGUCUGAACAGUCAAUGCAAGUAAAUGUUAAAGUGUUGGGGUUUUUUUUAACUGUCCUAAGAAUUAACACCGUUCUAUGGGACAGUACUAAAUAUGGAUGUUGUACAUUUAAAACAUUUUUUAAUAUCCAGCCAAUUCCUUCAGAAAGAGAGAUGAAUGUCUGAUACAUGUAUUGUUGUUUUCCUCUGUAUCCUAUAUAAUAUAUUAUCACUUGUUUUGUAGUGUGCAUAGCCAACAGCUUCUGGAUCGACCUCAAGUUUGUGGGUGAUCAGUGGGUGUGGCAAGGUAAUGGUAACCAAGCUACGUUCACAGAUUGGGCUUCUGGAGAACCCGAUAACAAUCAAGAUUGUGCAUCCUUGAACAAAGCUAAAAAGCAUCGCUGGUUUGACCGACCCUGCAGCAACGCUAACAGGAAUGGAGCACUUUGUGAAAUUACUGUGCCAUAAACCAACUUUGGUAAAUGAUAAAAUAAAAAAUCUAAUUAGCAAGU
rnacentral:misc_RNA from 1 species